UGGUUGAUCUUGCCGGACCCGACUGCUAUCAGAGUGGGACUAAGCCAUGCGAGUCAACGUAGCAAUGCGUGGCGAACGGCUCAGUAACACGUAGUCAACAUGCCCAGGGGACGUGGAUAACCUCGGGAAACUGAGAUUAAACCGCGAUAGGUCAAGAUUUCUGGAAUGGAUCGUGUCUUAAAUCUACAUGGCCCCUGGAUUGGACUGCGGCCGAUCAGGCUGUUGGUGAGGUAAUGGCCCACCAAACCUAUAACCGGUACGGGCUCUGAGAGGAGAAGCCCGGAGAUGGGCACUGAGACAAGGGCCCAGGCCCUAUGGGGCGCAGCAGGCGCGAAACCUCUGCAAUGGGCGAAAGCCUGACAGGGUUACUCUGAGUGAUUUCCGCUAAGGAGAUCUUUUGGCAGCUCUAAAAAUGGUGCAGAAUAAGGGGUGGGCAAGUCUGGUGUCAGCCGCCGCGGUAAUACCAGCACCCCGAGUGGUCGGGACGAUUAUUGGGCCUAAAGCAUCCGUAGCCGGUUGCGCAAGUCCUCCGUUAAAUCCAGCAGCUCAACGGAUGGGCUGCGGAGGAUACUACAGGACUAGGAGGCGGGAGAGGCAAGCGGUACUUAGUGGGUAGGGGUAAAAUCCUUUGAUCCAUUGAAGACCACCAGUGGCGAAGGCGGCUUGCCAGAACGCGCUCGACGGUGAGGGAUGAAAGCUGGGGGAGCAAACCGGAUUAGAUACCCGGGUAGUCCCAGCUGUAAACGAUGCAGACUCGGUGAUGGGCUAGCCUCGUGUCAGCCCAGUGCCGCAGGGAAGCCGUUAAGUCUGCCGCCUGGGGAGUACGGUCGCAAGACUGAAACUUAAAGGAAUUGGCGGGGGAGCACCACAAGGGGUGAAGCCUGCGGUUCAUUGGAGUNCACGCCGGGACU
rnacentral:rRNA from 1 species